rnacentral:rRNA from 1 species
UGAUUUAUUUAAUGGCCGCAGUAUUUUGACUGUGCAAAGGUAGCAUAAUCAUUAGUCUAUUAAUUGUGGGCUUGUAUGAAUGGGUUGACGAGAUAUUGGCUGUCUUAUGGUUAUUAAUAUAAUUUGAAUUUUGAGUUAAAAUGCUUAAGUUUUGUUAUGGGACGAGAAGACCCUAUAGAUCUUUAAUGUUGUUAUAUUUUAGUUAUUGGCUUAUUUUAUUUGGAAUAUCUNAUAACAUUUUUGUUGGGGUGACAUUAGGAUAUAUUUAACUCCUUCUUUUUAGUUACAUUAAUUUAUGAUUAUUUGAACUUUAAUUUUGUUUAUAAGAUGUAGAUACCUUAGGGAUAACAGCGUAAUUUUCUUUGAGAGUUCAUAUCGACAUAAAAGAUUGCGACCUCGAUGUUGGAUUAAGGUAAUUUUUGGGGGUAGGUUCUCAA